UUGCUUUAGCAGCACAUAUAUUAAAAUUGGAACAAUACACACAGGGUUACCUUGCCCCUGCGCAAGGAUGAAAUGGAAAUUUGUGAAACAUUCCACAUUUUU